rnacentral:lncRNA from 1 species
UCCCCUAUGCAUGAAUAUGUAAGAUUACCUCUCCCCUAAAUCAUAGCAUGCAGAUAUUGGGAGUGGGUAGGGUGAGACAAGUUCAAUCCAAAGUAGGCAAUAAAACAAUUUAUUUAAGUUUUAUAUCUCUCCCCCUUAAUGGUAUUUCUCCCACUGAAUAUAUGUUGGGGAACGUUGCAUGGGAAACAAAAAGUUUCCUACACACACGCAAGGCCUAUCCUUGGUGAUGAUCAUCUACGAGAGGGGAGAGUGAAUCUACAUCUCCUUGUAGAUCGCUAAGCAGAAGCGUAUAUAACGCAGUUGAUGUAGUGGCACAUCUUCGCGAUCCAAAUCGCAGCUCGUACCAAGAUCUCAUCACGAUCCGUCCCGCAAUCUCAUCACGAGCCUACCCGAUCUAGCGCCGAACGGACGACACCUCUACGUUCAGCACACGUACGGCUCGAUGACGUCUCCUCCUUCUUGAUCCAGCAAGAGAGUAAGGAGAAGUAGAUGGGAUCUCAUCCAUCACAACGGCAUGGUGGAGAUGAUGGUGGAGCAGUGCCAGCAGUGCUUCGCCAAGCGCUGCCGGAACCGAUGUGAGGAGAAAAUGAAGUUAUGGGAGAGGUAGGGCCGCCACCGGG